GUUAUAUGGUCAAGUGAAGAAGCGCAUACGGUGGAUGCCUUGGCAGUCAGAGGCGAUGAAAGACGUGGUAGCCUGCGAAAAGCUUCGGGGAGUCGGCAAACAGACUGUGAUCCGGAGAUGUCUGAAUGGGGGAACCCAGCCAUCACAAGAUGGUUAUCUUGCACUGAAUACAUAGGUGCAAGAGGCGAACCAGGGGAACUGAAACAUCUAAGUACCCUGAGGAAAAGAAAUCAACCGAGAUUCCCUUAGUAGUGGCGAGCGAACGGGGACUAGCCCUUAAGCUUCUUUGAUUUUAGCGGAACGCUCUGGAAAGUGCGGCCAUAGUGGGUGAUAGCCCUGUACGCGAAAGGAUCUUAGAAGUGAAAUCGAGUAGGACGGAGCACGAGAAACUUUGUCUGAAUAUGGGGGGACCAUCCUCCAAGGCUAAAUACUACUGACUGACCGAUAGUGAACUAGUACCGUGAGGGAAAGGCGAAAAGAACCCCGGAGAGGGGAGUGAAAUAGAUCCUGAAACCGUAUGCGUACAAGCAGUGGGAGCCCACUUUGUUGGGUGACUGCGUACCUUUUGUAUAAUGGGUCAGCGACUUAUUUUCAGUGGCGAGCUUAACCGAAUAGGGGAGGCGUAGCGAAAGCGAGUCUUAAUAGGGCGUCUAGUCGCUGGGAAUAGACCCGAAACCGGGCGAUCUAUCCAUGGGCAGGUUGAAGGUUAGGUAACACUGACUGGAGGACCGAACCGACUACCGUUGAAAAGUUAGCGGAUGACCUGUGGAUCGGAGUGAAAGGCUAAUCAAGCUCGGAGAUAGCUGGUUCUCCUCGAAAGCUAUUUAGGUAGCGCCUCAUGUAUCACUGUAGGGGGUAGAGCACUGUUUCGGCUAGGGGGUCAUCCCGACUUACCAAACCGAUGCAAACUCCGAAUACCUACAAGUGCCGAGCAUGGGAGACACACGGCGGGUGCUAACGUCCGUCGUGAAAAGGGAAACAACCCAGACCGUCAGCUAAGGUCCCAAAGUUAUGGUUAAGUGGGAAACGAUGUGGGAAGGCUUAGACAGCUAGGAGGUUGGCUUAGAAGCAGCCACCCUUUAAAGAAAGCGUAAUAGCUCACUAGUCGAGUCGGCCUGCGCGGAAGAUGUAACGGGGCUCAAACCAUACACCGAAGCUACGGGUAUCACGUAAGUGAUGCGGUAGAGGAGCGUUCUGUAAGCCUGUGAAGGUGAGUUGAGAAGCUUGCUGGAGGUAUCAGAAGUGCGAAUGCUGACAUGAGUAACGACAAUGGGUGUGAAAAACACCCACGCCGAAAGACCAAGGUUUCCUGCGCAACGUUAAUCGACGCAGGGUUAGUCGGUCCCUAAGGCGAGGCUGAAAAGCGUAGUCGAUGGAAAACAGGUUAAUAUUCCUGUACUUCUGGUUAUUGCGAUGGAGGGACGGAGAAGGCUAGGCCAGCUUGGCGUUGGUUGUCCAAGUUUAAGGUGGUAGGCUGAAAUCUUAGGUAAAUCCGGGGUUUCAAGGCCGAGAGCUGAUGACGAGUUACCCUCUGGGUGACGAAGUGGUUGAUGCCAUGCUUCCAAGAAAAGCUUCUAAGCUUCAGAUAACCAGGAACCGUACCCCAAACCGACACAGGUGGUUGGGUAGAGAAUACCAAGGCGCUUGAGAGAACUCGGGUGAAGGAACUAGGCAAAAUGGCACCGUAACUUCGGGAGAAGGUGCGCCGGUGAGGGUGAAGCACUUGCUGCGUAAGCCCACGCCGGUCGAAGAUACCAGGCCGCUGCGACUGUUUAUUAAAAACACAGCACUCUGCAAACACGAAAGUGGACGUAUAGGGUGUGACGCCUGCCCGGUGCCGGAAGGUUAAUUGAUGGGGUUAGCUAACGCGAAGCUCUUGAUCGAAGCCCCGGUAAACGGCGGCCGUAACUAUAACGGUCCUAAGGUAGCGAAAUUCCUUGUCGGGU
rnacentral:rRNA from 1 species